rnacentral:rRNA from 1 species
GACGUAGGAUGCGAGCGUUGUCCGGAUUUAUUGGGCGUAAAGAGUUCGUAGGUGGUUUGUUAAGUCUGGUGUUAAAGACUGGGGCUCAACCCUGGAAGUGCAUUGGAUACUGGCGGACUGGAGUGCAGUAGAGGCAAGCGGAAUUCCCAGUGUAGCGGUGAAAUGCGUAGAUAUUGGGAAGAACACCGGUGGCGAAAGCGGCUUGCUGGGCUGUAACUGACGCUGAGGAACGAAAGCUAGGGGAGCGAAUGGG